UCUCCGUUGGUGAACCAGCGGAGGGAUCAUUAUCGAGCUUAUAACUCCCAAACCCUAUGUGAACUUACCACUUGUUGCUUCGGCGCGCGCUUCGGUGCCGCCGAGGACACUUAAACUCUUUGUUUUUAUAAGCAUUUCUGAGUGGCCGAAAGGCAAAAUACAAAUGAAUCAAAACUUUCAACAACGGAUCUCUUGGUUCUGACAUCGAUGAAGAACGCAGC
rnacentral:misc_RNA from 1 species